CCAAUAGCGUAUAUUAAAGUUGUUGCAGUUAAAAAGCUCGUAGUUGAACUUCGGGGUUCACCCAUUGGUCAGGCUUAAUUGUCUGUACUGGUGAGAUGAGUCUCUACCUUCUGAGGAACUUUCAUGCCAUUUGUUUGGUGUGAUUGGAAAUCAGGACUGUUACUUUGAAAAAAUUAGAGUGUUUAAAGCAGGCUAACGUCUGAAUACAUUAGCAUGGAAUAAUGAAAUAGGACGGAUUGAUUCUAUUUCGUUGGUUUCUAGGGUCACCGUAAUGAUUAAUAGGGAUAGUUGGGGGCAUUAGUAUUCAAUUGUCAGAGGUGAAAUUCUUGGAUUUAUUGAAGACUAACUACUGCGAAAGCAUUUGCCAAGGAUGUUUUCAUUAAUCAAGAACGAAAGUUAGGGGAUCGAAGACGAUCAGAUACCGUCGUAGUCUUAACCAUAAACUAUGCCGACUAGGGAUCGGACGCAGUUAAUUUUAUAAUGACGUGUUCGGCACCUUACG
rnacentral:misc_RNA from 1 species